AGCUAAAAAAUUAAUACAUGGACCCCCAUAUUUUUCUUUUGCAGUCGACUAUGUACUACUUCAAGAAUGUUAUAUUGAAAUCGCAAAAAAAAUCAAUGAUAAAUUUUUUUUUAUUUUGGAUUUGGAAUGGCAUGAAAAUUGCCUACAGAUUUUUAUUACAGCCUUCAUUAAAGGGACUUCCUUAAAGGACUAUCAAUUUAGGAACAUUUUGCAAAAUCUCUCUUUUUGUAUGAAAGUUGUAUUAUUUAUUCUGAAAAGUAUUAAACUAGAGGCUCUAAAGAGCCUGUGUCGCUCACCUUGGUCUAUGUGCAUAUUAAACAAAGGACACAGAUGGAUUCAUGACAAAAUUGUGUUUUGGUGAUGGUGAUGUGUUUGUAGAUCUUACUUUACUGAACAUUCUUGCUGCUUACAAUUAUCUCUAUCUAUAAUGAACUUGGCCCAGUUGUUACAGUGGAAAAUAUUUUGUAAAAAUUUACAAAAAUUUACAAAAUUUAUGAAAAUUGUAAAAAAUUGACUAUAAAGGGCAAUAACUCCUUAAGGGGUCAAUUGACAAUUUUGGUCAAGUUGACUUAUUUGUAGAUCUAACUUUG